CUCAAUGGUGGGGCGUGUGGGGGAGCCUAGGCUCACCGGGUCCUUUUAGCCGGCACUGCGAACCCUGUACGUCUCACCACCCAA
rnacentral:antisense_RNA from 1 species